GUCUCCAGCAGACCGUCUGGUCUGGCGUCUGGCACUUGUCUUAUAGUGUAUGGGACUGUCUGCAGACCGAUUUUCUCGGACCAGACUGUCUGCGUGUCUGAUGGUUGAACCCUCAGACCACAGACGGUCUGAGGUUCCCCCACCACUAUUUUUGUCUGGUCUGUGAGUGUGUAGCGCUGUCUGUCAGACGACCGAUCGUCUCGUCGCUACAGUAUUCAUCCAUUUGUUAGAGUUCUCACCACGGUCUCUCAAUUACGAAUGUUAGACCGUCUGGUCUGGGAGUGUGUAGAGCCGUCCAAGACGGUCUGGUUGCAGCCAGACGGUCUGGUCUGGAGGUCUGGUCUGGUAGUGUGUGGGGGGCUUUAUCUAAUAACCUCAAACAAAACGUAAUCGUAAUCAUUCAUUAUCCCUCCUCCACAUAAAUUCUGAACCUUCAGUUUAGUUCAAACAGUUUUGUGAUAUUCUUACAGAAUGAGUACAGCUCACUAGCUCAAUUUUAAAGCAUGAAGAUCCGGUUGUUGCAGUCACUGAUUAUGCCACUAACCACACACUAACAAGUUGGACUGAGG